rnacentral:rRNA from 1 species
CCUUUGGGUGGGGAAUAACUCAGGGAAACUUGAGCUAAUACCGCAUAAUGCAGCGGCUCGACAUCGAGGCAGUUGUUAAAGCGGGGGAUCGCAAGACCUCGCGCCUGAAGAGAAGCCUGCGGCAGAUUAGCUAGUUGGUAAGGUAAUGGCUUACCAAGGCGACGAUCUGUAACCGGCCUGAGAGGGCGGUCGGUCACACUGACACUGACAUACGGGUCAG